rnacentral:rRNA from 1 species
UACAGAGGUCUCAAGCGUUGUUCGGAUUCAUUGGGCGUAAAGGGUGCGUAGGUGGCGCUGUAAGUCAGGUGUGAAAUUUCGGAGCUUAACUCCGAAACUGCAUUUGAUACUGCGGUGCUUGAGGACUGGAGAGGAGACUGGAAUUCACGGUGUAGCAGUGAAAUGCGUAGAUAUCGUAAGGAAGGCCGGUGGCGAAAGCGAGCCUCUGGACAGUUACUGACGCUGAUGCACGAAGGCCAGGGGAGCAAACGGG